GGAUAGCCUUUCGAAAGAAAGAUUAAUACCCGAUGGCAUAGUUCUUCCGCAUGGUAGAACUAUUAAAGAAUUUCGGUCAUCGAUGGGGAUGCGUUCCAUUAGGUUGUUGGCGGGGUAACGGCCCACCAAGCCUUCGAUGGAUAGGGGUUCUGAGAGGAAGGUCCCCCACAUUGGAACUGAGACACGGUCCAAACUCCUACGGGAGGCAGCAGUGAGGAAUAUUGGUCAAUGGACGAGAGUCUGAACCAGCCAAGUAGCGUGAAGGAUGACUGCCCUAUGGGUUGUAAACUUCUUUUAUACGGGAAUAAAGUGAGGCACGUGUGCCUUUUUGUAUGUACCGUAUGAAUAAGGAUCGGCUAACUCCGUGCCAGCAGCCGCGGUAAUACGGAGGAUCCGAGCGUUAUCCGGAUUUAUUGGGUUUAAAGGGAGCGUAGGCGGACGCUUAAGUCAGUUGUGAAAGUUUGCGGCUCAACCGUAAAAUUGCAGUUGAUACUGGGUGUCUUGAGUACAGUAGAGGCAGGCGGAAUUCGUGGUGUAGCGGUGAAAUGCUUAGAUAUCACGAAGAACUCCGAUUGCGAAGGCAGCUUGCUGGACUGUAACUGACGCUGAUGCUCGAAAGUGUGGGUAUCAAACAGGAUUAGAUACCCUGGUAGUCCACACAGUAAACGAUGAAUACUCGCUGUUUGCGAUAUACAGUAAGCGGCCAAG
rnacentral:rRNA from 1 species